rnacentral:rRNA from 1 species
UGGCUCAGGACGAACGCUGGCGGCGUGCUUUACACAUGCAAGUCGAGCGGUAAGGCCCUUCGGGGUACACGAGCGGCGAACGGGUGAGUAACACGUGAGCAAUCUGCCCUUCACUUUGGGAUAACCACCGGAAACGGUGGCUAAUACCGAAUAUGACCACUUCCUGCAUGGGAUGGUGGUGGAAAGUUCCGGCGGUGGAGGAUGAGCUCGCGGCCUAUCAGCUUGUUGGUGGGGUAAUGGCCUACCAAGGCAACGACGGGUAGCCGGCCUGAGAGGGUGACCGGCCACACUGGGACUGAGACACGGCCCAGACUCCUACGGGAGGCAGCAGUGGGGAAUAUUGGACAAUGGGCGAAAGCCUGAUCCAGCAACGCCGCGUGAGGGAUGACGGCCUUCGGGUUGUAAACCUCUUUCAGUACCGACGAAGCGCAAGUGACGGUAGGUACAGAAGAAGCACCGGCCAACUACGUGCCAGCAGCCGCGGUAAUACGUAGGGUGCGAGCGUUGUCCGGAAUUAUUGGGCGUAAAGGGCUCGUAGGCGGUUUGUCGCGUCGGGAGUGAAAACACGGGGCUUAACCCCGUGCCUGCUUCCGAUACGGGCAGACUAGAGGUAUGCAGGGGAGAACGGAAUUCCUGGUGUAGCGGUGAAAUGCGCAGAUAUCAGGAGGAACACCGGUGGCGAAGGCGGUUCUCUGGGCAUUACCUGACGCUGAGGAGCGAAAGUGUGGGGAGCGAACAGGAUUAGAUACCCUGGUAGUCCACACCGUAAACGUUGGGCGCUAGGUGUGGGACUCAUUCCACGAGUUCCGUGCCGCAGCUAACGCAUUAAGCGCCCCGCCUGGGGAGUACGGCCGCAAGGCUAAAACUCAAAU